AAAUAUCUUCUCCUCCUUGGCCCUGGAGCUGCCACCAGGGGUAACGCUAGGUGUGCGUUCAAUCUUUGAUGCAGGUGUGCUUGAUAUCUUCUCCUCCUUGGACCUGGAGCUGCUACCAGGGGUAACGCUAGGUGUGCGUUCAAUCUUUGAUGCAGGUGUGCUUGGAUGUCUUGAUGCACCCAUUUCUCUUAACCCUUGGUUGAAUGUUAUAAACUAGAGGGCCCUUCGGUCCAAACUGCAGCAAGAAGGCUGGGGAAAAUAACAAGAACUCAGCCUUGUAACAAAUUCUUACAGAAAGGCACACGGCCACACUGGCAGCACAGAAAUUCAAAUUGCUCGGUAGUAAGAUGAAUACAAAAUGAAGUAAGAGCUCAUCUUUGGGGCCACCAAAAGCACAAAUGCUGACAAAGUACAUGAGCAAUUCAAAGGCUAUCCAUCUUAAUGCAGGAGAUGUAUCUACUGCUGCAUGCAUAGCCAGGUGUUUUCAAUUUGCCCACUAA
rnacentral:lncRNA from 1 species